rnacentral:rRNA from 1 species
AUACGGAGGGUGCAAGCGUUAUCCGGAUUCACUGGGUUUAAAGGGUGCGUAGGCGGGCAAUUAAGUCCGUGGUGAAAUACCUGAGCUUAACUUGGGAACUGCCAUGGAUACUAUUUGUCUUGAAUGUCGUGGAGGUUAGCGGAAUAUGUCAUGUAGCGGUGAAGUGCUUAGAUAUGACAUAGAACACCUAUUGCGAAGGCAGCUAACUACGCGAAUAUUGACGCUGAGGCACGAAAGCGUGGGGAUCAAACAGGAUUAGAUACCCUGGUAGUCCACGCCCUAAACGAUGAUUACUCGACAUUGGCGAUACACAGUCAGUGUCUGAGCGAAAGCAUUAAGUAAUCCACCUGGGAAGUACGACCGCAAGGUUGAA